GUGUCAGCAGCCGCGGUAAUACAGAGGGUGCGAGCGUUAAUCGGAUUUACUGGGCGUAAAGCGUGCGUAGGCGGCUUUUUAAGUCGGAUGUGAAAUCCCCGAGCUUGACUUGGGAAUUGCAUUCGAUACUGGGAAGCUAGAGUAUGGGAGAGGAUGGUAGAAUUCCAGGUGUAGCGGUGAAAUGCGUAGAGAUCUGGAGGAAUACCGAUGGCGAAGGCAGCCAUCUGGCCUAAUACUGACGCUGAGGUACGAAAGCAUGGGGAGCAAACAGGAUUAGAUACCCUGGUAGUCCAUGCCGUAAACGAUGUCUACUAGCCGUUGGGGCCUUUGAGGCUUUAGUGGCGCAGCUAACGCGAUAAGUAGACCGCCUGGGGAGUACGGUCGCAAGACUAAAACUCAAAUGAAUUGACGGGGGCCCGCACAAGCGGUGGAGCAUGUGGUUUAAUUCGAUGCAACGCGAAGAACCUUACCUGGCCUUGACAUACUAGAAACUUUCCAGAGAUGGAUUGGUGCCUUCGGGAAUCUAGAUACAGGUACUGCAUGGCUGUCGUCAGCUCGUGUCGUGAGAUGUUGGGUUAAGUCCCGCAACGAGCGCAACCCUUUUCCUUACUUGCCAGCAUUUCGGAUGGGAACUUUAAGGAUACUGCCAGUGACAAACUGGAGGAAGGCGGGGACGACGUCAAGUCAUCAUGGCCCUUACGGCCAGGGCUACACACGUGCUACAAUGGUCGGUACAAAGGGUUGCUACACAGCGAUGUGAUGCUAAUCUCAAAAAGCCGAUCGUAGUCCGGAUUGGAGUCUGCAACUCGACUCCAUGAAGUCGGAAUCGCUAG
rnacentral:rRNA from 1 species